GUUUUGUCUAUAUUCAUGUUACCGAUAAAACAAGGUAUGGAGAAGCUUCCUGGAUCCUUGAGUUUUGGUGGCAGCUUAUUUUGCAAUAUGGCACUGCAUUCCUCUGUAAGAGCAACAGUCUCAUAGUCUUCCAGUUUUCUUUUCUUUGAAAGAAUCUCUUUAAGGAACUUAGUGUAGGAUGACAUCUAAGAAAGUACUUCUGUGAAAGAAAUGUUAA
rnacentral:misc_RNA from 1 species